AUUGACCGCUGGCGGCAGGCCUAACACAUGCAAGUCGAACGACUGGCGGACGGGUGAGUAAUGUCUGGGACACUGCCCGAUGUGGGGGGAAAACUACUGGAAACGGUAGCUAAUACCGCAUACAAUCGGUUGUGCCCAGAUGGGAUUAGCUAGGAGGUGGGGUAACGGCUCACCUAGGCGACGAUCCCUAGCUGGUCUGCGAGGAUGACCAGCCACACUGGGACUGAGACACGGUCCAGACUCCUACGGGAGGCAGCAGUGGGGAAUAUUGCACAAUGGGCGCAAGCCUGAUGCAGCCAUGCCGCGUGUAUGAAGAAGGCCUUCGGGUUGUAAAGUACUUUCAGCGGGGAGGCGUUACUCGCAGAAGAAGCACCGGCUAACUCCGUGCCAGCAGCCGCGGUAAUAC
rnacentral:rRNA from 1 species